GCAACAAAUUACCUCCUCGUGCUCCUCCUCCGUCUUCCGAGUGCUCGGUUUUCUUUUGCCGUUUGCUUGGCUAGGGUUUCCACGGGCCUCGCCCUUGCUCCUUCUUGCUCGCCGUCAACGUUACCCCGAUCAAUCCAUAGGGCUUCUUCUGUUCUUGGCUGUUUCUUUAGUGGGUUUCCUCGAUUAGGGCGUCGCUCUCCCUCGAAAUGGCGUCUCCUCGGCACUUCCUCUGACCAGUCUUUGGUGGAUUUCUUUGGCUGCUUCUUCGUGGUUCGGUUCCUUCUUUUCGGAACCUAGCUCUUGGCAACGAUUCCAUCCUGGUUCUUAGCUUGCGGGCUCGUUCUUCCGCUCCGUUGGUGGAAAUUUGGGAUCUUGGUCUCUCUGGUCCGGAUUUCGCGAACAUUUUCUAUGGAUUACGGUGGUGGAACUUCGUAUCCCGGAAGCAAUGCCAUCGCGAUCAUUCCGGACGCGUCUGGGCCUCCCGGCCGCGAUUCCUGGCUCCCAGGAGGGAGUGACCAGCUCCUGUGGGCGACCGAUGAGGAUUACCGUGCUUGGAGCGGAGACGCGUCCGCCGAUGCUGGCUUCAACUCUGCCUACGACGGCCGCCAAUCCCAGUCCCGGGCGGGCAGCGAGCAGCCUCCCGGCAAGAGAUCUCGGAACUCCCAAGGGGACUCUCAGGGUAAUAAUAGGUCCACCAGCUCCAAAGCCAUUGGGAAAAUGUUCUUCAAGACCAAGCUGUGCUGCAAAUUCCGUGCAGGGACUUGCCCAUACAUCACGAACUGUAAUUUUGCUCAUGGGAUCGAGGAGCUCCGCAAGCCGCCUCCAAACUGGCAGGAGAUUGUGGCAGCUCACGAGGAGGGCUCCGAGGCCAGAGAGGAGCGUCAGAUACCAACGAUGAGCUCGUCGAUCGUGAUUGGGGAUUCCGAAAGAUCCUAUAAAGGAAGGCGGUGUAAGAAGUUCUACACGGAAGAGGGGUGCCCAUAUGGGGAUACCUGCACUUUCAUCCAUGAUGAGCAAUCUAAGGCUCGGGAGAGCGUGGCGAUCAGUCUGUCACCCACAGUUGGAGGUAGUGGAUAUGGGGGUGGAGCGAAUGGGUCGACUCAGAAGCCUUCGAACUGGAAGACGAGGAUAUGUAACAAGUGGGAGAUGACGGGGUAUUGCCCAUUUGGCAGCAAGUGCCACUUUGCUCAUGGUGCAGCAGAGCUUCACAGAUACGGUGGGGGUCUUAUGGAGACAGAAGGUAGAGAUGUCUCCUCGGCCACUCCAGAUUCAAAGCAAGCAGGGACAUUGACAAAGGCUCCAUCAGAUGCUUCUGUUGCUUCAAGCAUCUCGGUUCCUCAUGCAGAUAUGUAUCAUAUUGGUGUUCCUUCGCAGAGGUCUGCUGGUUCCUUACAGAGGCAGGGACAGAGGUCAGUUGAGAAGUGGAAGGGCCCGGACAAAAUUAGUAAGAUUUAUGGUGACUGGAUUGAUGACAUUGAGUAGAACCUUGAAUGCAGAAGCACCAGGUUACCUACUAAUAGAAUAAUUAGUCGGUUAUCUCCAUUUUAUGCUGUGCCACCUGAGAUAAAGGUUCUGUUCCGAGGUUGUGGAGUACUGAAGGCAGCUAGUGAUGUGCUGCCAUAUGCAGGAAGUGGGGUAUCUAUCGGCAUGGUAAUUAUAAAACCCUGGAAAUCUGAAGACUGUAUUUUGAGGAAGUGUGAUUACUAUAUGCUUCUUUUGCUGGUUUUCAAGAGUAUAUCUACGACUGUUCACCUUGGAGAUUGUGAUUUCAGUAUGCUGCUUCUCAAGAAAGUUUGCGAAAAUUGCAUGACUCUUUCAGCUUCAAGAAUUAGCAUUUCACUAACAAAUGCUUGAUAGUCCUUGAACCUAAAUUUUGAAGCCAAGUUGCUAACUCUCAUCAGCAUCAGUUGGUUCUUGGCUUGCCGCUGUGAUUGAUCCAUAUCAAGUAAACCAGUGUCAGCCAGACAUGACAAAGGUUUCUGGCUGGCUGCAAGAAUGCUUCUGAAGUUUAUUAUAGAACGGAAAUAUUGUACUCAAUAUCUCUGUGCACAUUGGGAGUCUUUCCUCCUACUGUUAACGUACUAAGAUGGCUAAUGAUGUUUGUGCCGCACCAGAGAAAGACGGGCGAUAACUCAGAGAAGUCAAAUAUGUCAAGAACUCUUCUGCUUCCCGUGAGAGUACAAAGAAGUCAACAUGUC